UGUACUCUGUCUUACUCCUACUGACCUUCAUUCCCCUUCUCUCCAGCUCAUAUUUCCACCUCUCCAGGCUCUUCUCAACCUGCUCCCUACUCUCACCACAAAUCACAAUAUCAUACACAUCAUCGUAGAGAUCCCAAAUGUAAACAAAGACAUUCUGAAUGAAUGAAAUAAUAAAUGAAGAAACAGAUAAAAUCAGUCUGUGGUGAACAUUUCCUACACUGUAAAAAAUGAUUCUGUGGUCAUGUAGAUUUGAAUUAAUGUUUUUGGUUAAAAUGUAUUCAAUAUAAUUGUGUUUUUGAUUUUGAGGCAAAUAUUUAAUUCAUUUUCAAUAAAAAUUUUUGGAAUAAAAUCUACCCAUUGCAGUUAAAUAAAACUUAAGCAUUAUAUUUAUCUAAUCCCAAAUGGAGAGAAUAUUGAGUAAAUUCUGAUUAAUGUAACCAGGCAAAUUUUAUUUGAAAAGCACUUCCUGUCAAAAUGCUCCUUUUUAAAAAAAAAAAGAGCAGACCUACAAGACAUUUGAAGAGAGUAGGCUACAGACAGUGAAUUUUCAUUUUCUUCCACAGUGCUCGUCUUGCAAAAUUUAACUGGUUGACUUGGGUAAGAAAACUUCUUUUGUUAUCACUGGGCUAGUAAGAAGAACACAUGUAGUGGUAUAUUACAAUAUAAAAUGAGUUAUCACAGAAAAAGAGACUAAGCAGCAACACAAAGUUAGCUUGUGUUGGAAGGCUAUAGUGUAAUGUUGUUGCGCUAUAAUAUGAACACAGCAUCUUACAUUUUUGGAAAAAUUCUUAUGUAUCGAAGACAAACUAAUUUUGAAGGAUGUGGGUUAGCAUUUUUACUAUCAUGGUUUCUAGGUCUUUUGCGUGUUAAUAUUAUAUCCUCAGUAUGUUUUUAUGAAAUUGCGUAAAUGAGUACAUUGGGUUUUAUUUUAAGGUUCCAUAAAAAGCAAUAUUUGGGGUUAUUGCUGGAAAAGCAUCUUAUAUUUCAGACGGCAAUUGACGCACUUCCGUUGUCUUUACUUCUGUGUGGAGAUCGUCUUCCCGGGACAGCUAAAUCCUACUGCACACUCCCAAGCUACUGACGCUAUUUCGUGCCAAAGGUGGAGCACUUGGAAGAAGACUGGAGAUCAUAAUGGAACUGAUGCAGGACACUGGGAACUUAGAGGAACUUGAACAAGUCAUAAUGGCCAUUACUGUGACCCCAAAGCCUGGAGCUUCUACAAGCAACAGCCCAAAGAACAUUGGGAUUGUCAUAGAGGGCGUGGAAGUCAUCAGAGGACUUGGAGAUAUUGCAAGGGCUUGCUCUGUCCUCCUUGGCUUGACCUUCGCCCUGAAUCUCGAUUAUCCCAGACAGCUGAAGUACACCUUUGAGGUGUUCCAAAAACUUUUCUUGGAACUGGAUGAUUCAAAGCUUUCAAACAAAGUCCAGUCCCUCAAGAGCAAACUUCAGGCUUGAAAUGAGAGUGUAUUGCAGUGCAGACUUUUGUGCUACACAAUGUUCAUCUUCUACAGAGCUUGAGAAUUGCACAUUUAAAAGUGUUUUGUUUGUAAGUUGGCACUGUUUUGUCCUACGAAUGUCGUGACAUUUCAAUUGUUGUACGUUCAAAGUACAAAUGUAUUUUACUCUGUUCAAUUUGCACUUUUAUUAUUUAUGUUUUGGCACAUGCCAUUAUGGAGUAUCAGCAUUUUGUCCUUUUCAAAGUUCUGGUUUGAAAUGCGUGAGCAAACUUCUGGCUUGAAAAUGAGACUGUAGUUGCAGUGUACAUAUUUUGCUACACAAUGUUUAGCUUCUACAGAGCUUGGGAAUCGCACAUCUGAAAGUGCCGUGUUUGUAAGUUAGCACUGAUUUGGACUCUUAUCCCACGAAUGUCAGUGAGAUUUCUAGUUUAAAGUACGAAAUGUUUUUUACUCUGUACAAAUGACACUUUUCUGCAUUUGUUUUGGGACAUGCACCUCUGGAGGAUUUUUCUUUAAUAUCAUUAUUGAUCCAAUUUAGUGGCUAAGUGAAGGUGAGAAAGCAUGGAAUCAGGUUUAUGGACAUGUCACCAUUCUGUAUGUCAUUUAUUUUUGUUUUUACAAAAUAGUUUAUAGUCAGCAUUCUGUCCUUUUCAAAUGUCUGGUUUGAAAUGCAAGGUCCAACUUCUGGCUUGUAAUGAGACUGUGGUUGCAGUGUACAAUGAUGUGCUACAAUGUGUCUAAAGCACAAAAGUGAUUAAUUGUUAAUAAAAUUCUUAUUUGAGUAUUUA